UUGCCUUAAACACACCGCUCGUCACGCGAGAUA
rnacentral:rRNA from 12 species